CGUAAGCAACCUGCCCCGAAGUGGGGGAUAACAGCUCGAAAGGGCUGCUAAUACCGCAUGUGGCCAGUGUAUCGCAUGAUGCUCUGUCUAAAGCCUUGUGCGCUUCGGGAUGGGCUUGCGGCCUAUCAGUUAGUUGGUGGGGUAACGGCCUACCAAGGCGUUGACGGGUAGCUGGUCUGAGAGGAUGGUCAGCCGGAUUGGGACUGAGACACGGCCCAG
rnacentral:rRNA from 1 species